rnacentral:tRNA from 2 species
GUGCCUAUAGCGUAACCGGAUAACGCAUCAGUCUCCGGAACUGAAGAUUGCAAGUUCAAAUCUUGUUAGGCACGCCA